AGCAAACACAUGCUCAGAGGAUAUAAUUUUAAUUUAGGAUAACAAGCAUGUUUAUACGCGCAAAAGUCUCGCAGAGAAAGAGAUUUAAACAUGGAGAACUCACUAGCUAAUUCAUCUCCUCUUGACUAAGCAUUGACUCCCUACCAAAGAUCCAUUCAGUGAUGUUUCUUUGGCCACUUUGGCAAAUCCUAUGAUGUUGGCUUUUAUCAUAGCAUCUAUCCUUCCAUGGCCAUCCAACAAAACAUCAUCCUGGUCUUCUUGCUUCAAAUCUUCGUUCUUUGAGUUUGACAAUUGCAAGGGACCAUUCACACUUACUAAAUCCUUUAAUUCAUCUGGAAGUAGCUGUGACUUCUCCAUCUCAAAGCUAUUUACAUCAGAAUCAAGCAAAGAUACAAAACCCUUGCUUGAAGUUUGAGAACUGGUACCCUUCCUAGAAGCAUGUAAACCUAAAGUGUUAAUACCGAACAAAAGUGACAGAUGAGAUAGGCUCAGCCAUAUGAACCUCCUCAAGAGUUCAUAAAGCCUGGAGCUAGCAACUACGCUUCUGAUGUCGAAGCAGAGCAUCCAUACUUGUUUCACCGGAUUGAUUAGGCAAAGCUUCCAUGUCUUGCAUCGAUGAAGCGGACUGAAGCCUUCCUGUCUAUAAAGUUAGGUUAGAAAUGGUGCAAAUAAUCCGCUAAUUUGGAGAAACACUAUAUGAACAAACAAAAACUUACAUGGGAGCUAAUAAAAGGACGGAUCACAAACCCUAUGCCGAACCCCAGUAAACAUGAUAAGGCCACUCCAACAGCAAGAACCCAAAAGGAAACCCCUCCCAAUGCUGCAAAAAUUACAAUAACAAGAUUUGGUCAACUAUCAAAAUGCACCAAAAGAAAAGAAAAGAAAAAUAUUAGUUAGCACUAUCUCGUGAUCCUUCCAUCCCUCUGACAAACUCAGCAGUCCCACUCCAAUUUGUUGAUACAAUUCAUGUGAGAGGCAGAGAACGCAGGAUGGUCCAAUGUAAUAACUUUUGUCAUACAACAAGCAAAGCAUGAAUUUCAACAAAAAAUUGAGUCUCUGCCAAAGCCAGACUCUUACUAGAGAAAAAUGCAGUAAAUUCAUGCAGGCAAAAAGAGACUGAAACUUAAAGCAGUUCAUGCCUUUAAGGUUCACUCAUCAAUGGAGAAAUUCAAAUUUACAUUCUUUUGAUGUUAAAACUAAAAGAUAUCACCGGAUAAGACGCUGAAAUGUUUAAAUCUACUACUAAGUGGAAUAAAUGCACUCCAUUCUACACCAGGAGACAGAGAACGCACCAGAUUGAGAACCUCUUGCACAAUUCUCUGGCUUAAGAUCAAUCUGGCGAACCAGUUGAUUCCCGUGAUCUGAAAUCAGUAACGCGCAUACUUCAGGAACAAAAGACACCUCAAAAUCAUUGGAGAAAGUAGCAUUUUGUGCAGGACCAUCCUCAUGGCCAAUCCUUUCGGAUUGCCCUCCAGCAAUGGUGGUCACGCCUAGAGAAGUAAAGCAUAAAGAUGAAAGAAGGUAAUACCAAAAACGACACAAACAAACUGCCGUUUCAAGCUCUGAAACCACAAUCACCAUAACACUAAUCAAGACAGCAAGUACCUGAGUCGCUUAUCUUUCUUAUAGCACCAUUACGUCUAUCAGCAACAUAAAUAUUCCCUUUAAGAUCCACAGCGAAGCUCUUCGGUUUAUUGAAUCGGGCGGAACCUGGUGCCCCAUCUAAGAACCCAGCAACUCCAUCUCCAGAAUACCGCUUAAAAACACUCCCCUGAGAAAUGGGAAAUGAUACGGUGUAGAAGACGCUCUGGAAAGAAUCGAGGACUACGAGAUCGGACAAUCCAGGCCGAGGGAGAACCAUACAUGGAUUUAUUUUCAGCUUGUUGCCGUCAAUCACUGUGGUCACCUUGUAGCCAUCUUCUAGAAUAAGAUCCG
rnacentral:misc_RNA from 1 species